ANGCAUUACAAGCGAAACUGCGAAUGGCUCAUUAUAUAAGUUAUCGUUUAUUUGAUAGUACCUUACUACAUGGAUAACCGUGGUAAUUCUAGAGCUAAUACAUGCUGAAAAUCCCGACUUCGGAAGGGAUGUAUUUAUUAGAUUCAAAACCAAUGCCCUUCGGGGCUCCAAUGGUGAUUCAUGAUAACUUCUCGAAUCGCACGGCCCCGCGCCGGCGAUGGUUCAUUCAAAUUUCUUCCCUAUCAACUUUCGAUGCUACGGUAGUGUCCUAGCAUGGUUGCAACGGGUAACGGGGAAUA
rnacentral:rRNA from 1 species